AGUGUCUUUUUCCCAUUGAGUCCUUCUAAUUUCAUAUCUUUGUUUUUGGUGACCCAAUGAAUUUAAUUGGGGUUGCUUACAGGAACAUGGGUUAGGAUUUGUUUAAGGAAACAGGAGCAAUUUGCCCAUGAGUAGUACAUAACUAAAAGACAUCUCAAACCCCCAGCCAUUAACUGCCUAUCAAUCCUCAGGGAUGGGCAGGGCCUCAUGAGCCCCUCCCCCCAGGAACUACUAACUGCCUAUAAAUCCUUAAGAAUAGGUGGGGCCUCAUAACCCUCUUAUCUUAACAAUUAUUGACUGCCUUAACAAUCCUCAGAAGGAUGGAGACUUGUGAACCCCUUUCCCCUCCCAUUUGCAUCGAUUAACUGCCUAUGAAUCUUCAGGGAGAGGUAGGAUCUGGUGGUAUAUGAAAUGCUGUACUUCAUAAUAUGCUUACUUGGCACAAGAACUAGUUUGACAGAAACCAGCUGCUUUUGGAGAAUAAAGCACAAUGAAGAUGAUGAUGGAGAUUUACAGGCUGACUGUGCUUUUUACCUUUUUACGCUUCCGUCACCUUUGGAAGAAGGUUUUUGUAAAACUGUCCUGGAUUUUAGGUAAGCUGUUAGCUUCUUCAUUUUCUGGAUAAAUAUCAUAAAUUAGAAACCUGAGACUGUGGAGCGAAACUUUGAGGGUUUCUAUCAUGUAACUUCCCUUUGCAACAUUAGGGAGUAUAGAAAUGUUUCUACAUUUUUAAUUAUUUUACUAUUUCCAAAUGCAUUUCACUGUGUGCCGUUCUUAUAUUAGACUCCCAGUCACUAAGGUGUAAGGCAAGAUAUAAUUUUCUUUUUCCUAUAUCCUUCUGAUAUCCUAUGUUUUGUUGCACAGUGUCUCAUGAUCUAACAUGAAAACACAGUUCAAACCACCAGCAUGAGUUCACAAGGAAAAGUCCGUAUCACAGUACCUUUUCAAGUGACUGCCAAGGAGUUUUACACCAACAUAUGGUCAUUAAUGACCUCCAUAAAGAGGUUACUUAUUUUUGGUCUCUAACAAUAGGGAAUAUUGGG
rnacentral:sRNA from 1 species